CACAGACGGACAACAACCGCCGGAGAGCA
rnacentral:sRNA from 1 species